AUGUACAUGCCUACAACACAUCGUUAAUGAAAUGGAUCCCAUUAGAACUCCACAAUUAAGCGUGCUCAGGUUAGAUUAGUACUGGGAUGUGUGAUCGCCCGAGAAGUCCUAGUGUUUUACAUU
rfam:Picea glauca, whole genome shotgun sequence.